ACAACUUUUCGACCGUCGGUCUACCGAGCAAUAUCACCCGCUCGGUGGAAGAUCUUCCCUUCCGUCGU
rnacentral:pre_miRNA from 1 species